rnacentral:lncRNA from 1 species
CACACAGUAACAGCUAAGGUUAGCGCUGGCAGAGGCAGCCCUGCUAAAAGUUCACAAAGUGUGAGCUUCAGGAUGCUUUGCUUGCCUCGCCCUUCCAAGGCCCUGAAAAGCAACGUCCAGCAAUGGCUUCACAUGGCCCUAUUUUCAUACAACGUGCAAAGUAAGACAGUUUAACUGUGUUUGCUCUGACAACGUUGAGAUCCAGCUAAGGGGAAGUUGAGGUGGAGAUGCAUUUAUGUAGGGAAUAGUGGGAAGUGUCCAUAAGGUUCAUGGUCACUUCUGCCUAUGAUGAAGUCAUGGGCAGCUGCUCUGGGAUAGGAAUGGCUUCCACCACGCACUGUAACAAAUCAUUCAGCAUCCCGACACCAGGGUGUUGCAGGACACGUGCAUACGCAACUCGGUUCCGUAAUCUUGUGGGAGAAAAUUCGCCUCCACGGCACCUGAAGAUGUUGACGGCUUUGGCAUUUUGCAGCGGAUGUAAAUUGUCUUCUGAGAUCAGACCAAAAGCAGGAAUUCAUUAAGAUAAAGAAAUACAUUUGAAAUAGAAAUAAUGAAUCAGUUCCUUCAUUGUCUGUGUAGAGUGAAUCAUAAGGAUAUUUUAAAAGAUUUACAUGCUUUGCUGACUUGAAAUAAACUAUCAACAUCUAUGAAGACAAUUAUGAUAGGCAAGAUAAUGAUCCCCAUCCUAAUCCCUAUGACUGUGACUAUGUUACCUUCUAUGGAAAAGGAGAAUUAAGCAGCACGUGGAACUCAGUUUGCUAAUCAGCUGGCCUGAAGAAGAGGAGAGAAUCCUGGAUGACCUGGGUGGGGUCCUUGUUAGUAGAAGUGGAGAGGCAGGAGAGUCCAAGCCAGCGGAGACUGCAAGGUGCUGCGCCACUGGCUUUGAAGGCAGGAAGAAGGCACAGCCAAGGAACGCAGGAGACCACUAAAAGCUGACAAAAGAAAGGAAAAGGCCUCUGCCCUGGGGCCUCCGGAAGGAACCAAGCCCUGUUGAUACUUCGAUUUUAUCCCACAGAUGCCAAAACCCCCACUGGAGGACUUGUGACCAGCAGAAAUGUAAAGGAAUAAAUGUGUGUCACCUUUUUAGUAACCUUUUACUGUAGCAAACAGGAAAGGAUACAAUACAAUUGUAUACCCGAUGCUACAAUAAUACAGCACCAUAAACUACGGUGACAGAGUUAGUCUGCAGUUAACUGACUAGGCUAUCAAGAAUUCAAGAAGCACCUGAGAUUAGAACUUGC